AACAGAGGGGGCAAGCGUUGCUCGGAAUUACUGGGCGUAAAGGGCGCGUAGGCGGAAUGGCAAGUCGGUCGUGAAAUCCUUCGGCUCAACCGAAGAACGUCGAUCGAAACUGCCGUCCUUGAGGAUUGCAGAGGAGACUGGAAUUCCCGGUGUAGCGGUGAAAUGUGUAGAGAUCGGGAGGAACACCGGUGGCGAAGGCGGGUCUCUGGGCAAUUCCUGACGCUGAGACGCGAAAGCGUGGGGAGCAAACAGG
rnacentral:rRNA from 1 species